UGAAUUGCAUUGGCACCACCGACAGUGAUCCGGAAUGUUCUCGAUCCCUCUUAGGAACGUGUGGAACGAAGAUAGACACGAUGUUCCGGUGUCCAUGGAUGUGUAAUGUGUGUCCAUAUUCUGAUCGGUCUUGGAAUGCCACUCUUAUAUCAAAAAUGCCGUGGGAGCUGGGUCUACCGGACUGCACAACAACACCACUACCGACAACAAGUCACUCUACGAAUGCUUAUGCCCAACAGCAGAACGACGGAUCGAUGGUGUCAUUUCACAGUGUGCUCUACAUUGGCUGCACGACUAUUGUGAUGCUGAAACAGUUAACCAUAUGCUGAAAUAAUUGUUUAUGACAUUUCAUUCGAUGCUUGGAAUUUGAUGAAAACUAAUACAUGUUUUUUAUCUU